GCAUCGGUAGCUCAGUGGCAGAGCGGUGGGGCGUUUACCCAUGCGGCCCGGGUUCGAUUCCCGGUCGAUGUA